CCUACGGGAGGCAGCAGUGGGGAAUAUUGGGCAAUGGAGGCAACUCUGACGCAGCAACGCCGCGUGAAUGAUGAAGGUCUUCGGAUUGUAAAGUUCUGUGAUGGGGGAUGAACACAAUGACGGUACCCCAAUAGCAAGCCACGGCUAACGACGGGCCAGCAGCCGCGGUAAUACGUAGGUGGCAAGCGUUAUCCGGAAGGACGGGGCGGAAAGGGGGCGUAGGUGGUUUAGGAAGUUGGCGGUGUAAUUCCGGGGCUCAACCCCGGCGCUACCGCCAAAACUAUUAGACUAGAGUGCAGGAGGGGUAAGUGGAAUUCCUAGUGUAGCGGUGGAAUGCGUAGAUAUUAGGAGGAACAUCAGGGGCGAAGGCGACUUACUGGACUGUAACUGACACUGAGGCACGAAAGCGUGGGGAGCAAACAGGAUUAGAUACCCCUGUAGUC
rnacentral:rRNA from 1 species